AUUGAACGCUGGCGGCAGGCCUAACACAUGCAAGUCGAACGGCGGGGCGUACGGGUGAGUAAUGUCUGGGGAACUGCCCGAUGGAGGGGGAUAACUACUGGAAACGGUAGCUAAUACCGCAUACCAUCGGAUGUGCCCAGAGGGGAUUAGCUAGUAGGUGGGGUAAUGGCUCACCUAGGCGACGAUCCGUAACUGGUCUGAGAGGAUGAUCAGUCACACUGGAACUGAGACACGGUCCAGACUCCUACGGGAGGCAGCAGUGGGGAAUAUUGGACAAUGGGCGAAAGCCUGAUCCAGCCAUGCCGCGUGUGUGAAGAAGGUCUUCGGAUUGUAAAGCACUUUAAGUUGGGAGGCGUUACCAACAGAAUAAGCACCGGCUAACUUCGUGCCAGCAGCCGCGGUAAUUC
rnacentral:rRNA from 1 species